CAAAUAUAAAAUUUUCCAAAAAAAUAAGAAAAAGAAACAGAAAAUCUUUCUCCUAUACAUGAUCGUGCAUCAAGUACAGAGCUUGGAACAUAGAUGUUGAAGUUGGGAAGAGUUUUCCUCUGUUAGUGUAUAGAUUUCGCUUUUCCCAUUGCCUAUGCAUGUC